rnacentral:rRNA from 1 species
AACGAACGCUGGCGGCAGGCCUAACACAUGCAAGUCGAGCGCCCUUUCGGGGGAGCGGCGGCCGGGUGAGUAACGCGUGGGAAUAUGCCCUUCUCUACGGAAUAGCCUCGGGAAACUGAGAGUAAUACCGUAUACGCCCUGUGGGGGAAAGAUUUAUCGGGGAAGGAUUAGCCCGCGUUGGAUUAGGUAGUUGGUGGGGUAAUGGCCUACCAAGCCGACGAUCCAUAGCUGGUUUGAGAGGAUGAUCAGCCACACUGGGACUGAGACACGGCCCAGACUCCUACGGGAGGCAGCGGGGGGGAAUCUUAGAAAAGGGGGGCAACCCUGAUCUACCCAGGCCGGGGGAGUGAUGAAGGCCUUGGGGUUGAAAAGCUCUUUCAGCUGGGAAGAUAAUGCCGGUACCAGCAGAAGAAGCCCCGGCUAACUCCGU